rnacentral:rRNA from 1 species
AUGCACCAAAACGCGGACAAGCGGUCUGCGGGGACACAGGCCACGCUCAAGUUCAACCCCGACGGGAAAAAGAAAGGAGCAUGGAGCAAGUUGUUUGGUUCUACCACCUCUGCAACGAGCUCUUCCACAUCAGGCCCAUCGCCUGUGCUUUUGGGUGGUGGGGAGUUAGCGAAGUACCUCAACAGCGAUAAAGUCAACUUCAAUGAAGAGGAAGAGGAAGACUUCGACAUAAUUCAGUGGUGGCAUGAACACAAGCUUACAUAUCCGGUGCUUUCCAUAUUAGCACGGGAUGUAUUAUCAGUACCCGUCUCAUCGACAUCAUCGGAGUCUGCUUUUAGCCUAGCUGGAAGAAUACUUGAGGAAAGAAGAACGAGUUUGACCCCGGAUAUGGUGAGAACACUCAUGGCCGUGAAAGACGGAGAACUAGCCAAAAGGAAAGCCCAACACACCGCUGAAAACAGAGAACUGAUGGCCACGUUCGAAAAUCUCGAAGAUGAUGAAGACGAAUAG